GCACAAGGCCUUUGAAAGUGUCCUAUCGUAUCUGGCGCCAAGACAUUAGCAAUAAAACCUUAAAAUCCUGCAAGUUACGACUUGGGGCCUCCAUGGAUGGAAUUUGUUGUUCCAGCACAUCCCACUGAUGCUCAGUGGUAUUAAGAUCUAGUUGGGGCCCAAGACAACACCAUGAAAUCUUUGUCGUGUUCCUUAAAACAAUCCUGAACAUUUUUUGCAGUGUGGUGGGCUGCAUUAUCCUGUUGCAAG